GACGAACGCUGGCGGCGUGCCUAAUACAUGCAAGUUGAGCGCUGAAGGUUGGUACUUGUACCAACUGGAUGAGCAGCGAACGGGUGAGUAACGCGUGGGGAAUCUGCCUUUGAGCGGGGGACAACAUUUGGAAACGAAUGCUAAUACCGCAUAAAAACUUUAAACACAAGUUUUAAGUUUGAAAGAUGCAAUUGCACCACUCAAAGAUGAUCCCGCGUUGUAUUAGCUAGUUGGUGAGGUAAAGGCUCACCAAGGCGAUGAUACAUAGCCGACCUGAGAGGGUGAUCGGCCACAUUGGGACUGAGACACGGCCCAAACUCCUACGGGAGGCAGCAGUAGGGAAUCUUCGGCAAUGGACGAAAGUCUGACCGAGCAACGCCGCGUGAGUGAAGAAGGUUUUCGGAUCGUAAAACUCUGUUGGUAGAGAAGAACGUUGGUGAGAGUGGAAAGCCCAUCAAGUGACGGUAACUACCCAGAAAGGGACGGCUAACUACGUG
rnacentral:rRNA from 1 species